rnacentral:rRNA from 1 species
UGGGGAAUAUUGGACAAUGGGCGCAAGCCUGAUCCAGCAAUGCCGCGUGUGUGAAGAAGGCCUUCGGGUUGUAAAGCACUUUUAUCAGGAGCGAAACGCUGUCGGCUAAUACCCGGCGGAACUGACGGUACCUGAGGAAUAAGCACCGGCUAACUUCGUGCCAGCAGCCGCGGUAAUACGAAGGGUGCAAGCGUUAAUCGGAAUUACUGGGCGUAAAGCGUGCGUAGGCGGUUUCUUAAGUCUGCUGUGAAAUCCCCGGGCUCAACCUGGGAAUGGCAGUGGAUACUGGGAGGCUAGAGUGUGUCAGAGGGUGGUGGAAUUCCCGGUGUAGCGGUGAAAUGCGUAGAGAUCGGGAGGAACAUCAGUGGCGAAGGCGGCCACCUGGGACAACACUGACGCUGAGGCACGAAAGCGUGGGGAGCAAACAGGAUUAGAUACCCUGGUAGUCCACGCCCUAAACGAUGCGAACUGGAUGUUGUCUCAACUCGGAGAUCAGUGUCGAAGCUAACGCGUUAAGUUCGCCGCCUGGGGAGUACGGUCGCAAGACU